rnacentral:rRNA from 1 species
CCUACGGGAGGCAGCAGUGAGGAAUAUUGGUCAAUGGCCGGAAGGCUGAACCAGCCAUGCCGCGUGAAGGUCAGUGCCCUAUGGGCGUUAAACUUCUUUUGUGCGGGAGCAAUAAUGGUCACGUGUGGCCAGACGAGAGUACCGUACGAAUAAGCAUCGGCUAACUCCGUGCCAGCAGCCGCGGUAAUACGGGGGAUGCAAGCGUUAUCCGGGUUUAUUGGGUUUAAAGGGGGCGUCGGCUGUGAGGUAAGUCAGCGGUGAAAUGCCCCCGCUCAACGGGGUGAAGUGCCAUUGAUACUGCCUGGCUGGAAUGCGGAUGCCGUAGGAGGAAUGUGUGGUGUAGCGGUGAAAUGCAUAGAUAUCACACAGAACACCGAUUGCGAAGGCAUCUCACGAAUCCGCGAUUGACGCUGAUGCACGAAAGCGUGGGUAUCAAACAGGAUUAGAUACCCUUGUAGUC